rnacentral:rRNA from 1 species
UGGGGAAUUUUGCACAAUGGGGGAAACCCUGAUGCAGCGACGCCGCGUGAUUUAGAAGGCCUUCGGGUUGUAAAAAUCUUUUCUAUGGGAAGAAAAUGACAGUACCAUAGGAAUAAGGACCGGCUAAUUACGUGCCAGCAGCCGCGGUAAUACGUAAGGUCCGAGCGUUGUCCGGAAUCAUUGGGCGUAAAGGGUACGUAGGCGGGUAAGCAAGUUAGAAGUGAAAUACUAUAGCUCAACUAUAGUAAGCUUUUAAAACUGCUCAUCUUGAGGUAUGGAAGGGAAAGUGGAAUUCCUAGUGUAGAGGUGAAAUGCGCAGAUAUUAGGAGGAAUACCGGUGGCGAAGGCGACUUUCUGGCCAUAACCUGACGCUGAGGUACGAAAGCGUGGGUAGCAAACAGG